rnacentral:rRNA from 1 species
UACGGAGGGUGCAAGCGUUAAUCGGAAUUACUGGGCGUAAAGCGUGCGUAGGCGGCUUCGCAAGCCAGACGUGAAAGCCCUCGGCUCAACCGGGGAACUGCGUUUGGAACUGCUUAGCUUGAGUCCGAGAGAGGGUGGCGGAAUUCCGGGUGUAGGAGUGAAAUCCGUAGAUAUCCGGAGGAACACCGGUGGCGAAGGCGGCCACCUGGAUCGGUACUGACGCUGAGGUACGAAAGCGUGGGGAGCAAACAGGAUUAGAUACCCUGGUAGUCCACGCGGUAAACGAUGGAUACUAGGUGUCGGGGGCUUGACCUUCGGUGCCGUAGCUAACGCGUUAAGUAUCCCGCCUGGGGAGUACGGUCGCAAGGCUG